AGCGAGCUGUGAUCCGGGGAUGUCCGAAUGGGGAAACCUGGCCCUGGUUAUGUGGGGUUACCCUUCAGUGAAUUCAUAGCUGUUGUGGGGGUUACGCGGGGAAGUGAAACAUCUCAGUACCCGUAGGAGAAGAAAACAAGAGUGAUUCUGCUAGUAGUGGCGAGCGAACGUGGAUGAGGCUAAACCGUAUGCGUGUGAUACCGGGUAGGGGUUGCGUGUGCGGGGUUGCAGGAGCAUAACGUAUCAGUUCUGCCUUGGCUGGUGCUGUUGUUGGUGUGUGUUAGUGGAAGUGGUGUGGAAUCGCCUGCCAGAGACGGUGAGAGUCCGGUACACGAAAAC
rnacentral:rRNA from 1 species